UACGUAGGGAGCAAGCGUUGUCCGGAUUUAUUGGGCGUAAAGAGCGUGUAGGCGGCCAGGUAGGUCUGGUGUGAAAACUCGAGGCUUAACCUCGAGAUGUCAUCGGAAACCAUCUGGCUAGAGUCCGGAAGAGGAGAGUGGAAUUCCUGGUGUAGCGGUGAAAUGCGCAGAUAUCAGGAAGAACACCAAUGGCGAAAGCAGCUCUCUGGGACGGUACUGACGCUGAGACGCGAAAGCGUGGGGAGCGAACAGG
rnacentral:rRNA from 1 species